rnacentral:misc_RNA from 1 species
GAUGAAGAACGUAGCGAAAUGCGAUAAGUAGUGUGAAUUGCAGAAUUACCUGAAUCAUCGAAUCUUUGAACGCACAUUGCGCCCCUUGGUAUUCCGAGGGGCAUGCCUGUUCGAGCGUCAUUAUAACCCCUCAAGCUCAGCUUGGUGUUGGGGCCUGCUGCACUGGCAGCCCUUAAAAUCAGUGGCGGCGCCAUCUGGCUCUAAGCGUAGUAAUUCUUCUCGCUAUGGAGUCCUGGUGGAUGCUUGCCAUCAACCCCCAAUUUUUCUAUGGUUGACCUCGGAUCAGGUAGGGAUACCCGCUGAACUUAAGCAUAUCAAUAAGCGGAGGA